GACGAACGCUGGCGGCGUGCUUAACACAUGCAAGUCGAACGGAAAGGCCCUGCUUUGGUGGGGUGCUCGAGUGGCGAACGGGUGAGUAACACGUGAGUAACCUGCCCUUGACUUUGGGAUAACUUCAGGAAACUGGGGCUAAUACCGGAUAGGAGCUCCUGCUGCAUGGUGGGGGUUGGAAAGUUUCGGCGGUUGGGGAUGGACUCGCGGCUUAUCAGCUUGUUGGUGGGGUAGUGGCUUACCAAGGCUUUGACGGGUAGCCGGCCUGAGAGGGUGACCGGCCACAUUGGGACUGAGAUACGGCCCAGACUCCUACGGGAGGCAGCAGUGGGGAAUAUUGCACAAUGGGCGGAAGCCUGAUGCAGCAACGCCGCGUGCGGGAUGACGGCCUUCGGGUUGUAAACCGCUUUCGCCUGUGACGAAGCGUGAGUGACGGUAAUGGGUAAAGAAGCACCGGCUAACUACGUG
rnacentral:rRNA from 1 species